GAAGGAGUCGGACAGCAGCGCGAUGGAGUUGCCCACGUAGCCUGAGACCAGCUCGGCCACGAAGAAGGCGGCGGUUGUGGUAUUUUGUUAGAGCUUAAAUGGACUACGACAAAGUAUCAGAAAGCAAGUUACCAACUGCUGAGUGCCCAGAAUCUGAAGUUGGACCAAAAGAGCAAUUGAGGCGUCUGUCUUGUCCGAUGGAGCACUCACGUUUGAGACCCCAAGACACCAUGUACGAUGUCCCAAGGCCACUCCAGUGUGAGGAAGCCAAGCUACACUGAGACAUCCUUGCUCACGGUCCAGUCAGCAGUCCUAGAUGUCGAGACCUUCCAGCCCAGGAACCAGAUGGACGAUGAUGCUUCCACCUGCCAUCAAGUCACUCACCGUCGCGUCCGCGGAGCCUUCCCAGCUGAGGCCCCACACCUCAUGAGACAGAUGGGCUGUUCCUGCUGGUUCCUUUCCAAA